rnacentral:rRNA from 1 species
GGGGGACCUUCGGGCCUCUUGCCAUCGGAUGUGCCCAGAUGGGAUUAGCUAGUAGGUGGGGUAACGGCUCACCUAGGCGACGAUCCCUAGCUGGUCUGAGAGGAUGACCAGCCACACUGGAACUGAGACACGGUCCAGACUCCUACGGGAGGCAGCAGUGGGGAAUAUUGCACAAUGGGCGCAAGCCUGAUGCAGCCAUGCCGCGUGUAUGAAGAAGGCCUUCGGGUUGUAAAGUACUUUCAGCGGGGAGGAAGGGAGUAAAGUUAAUACCUUUGCUCAUUGACGUUACCCGCAGAAGAAGCACCGGCUAACUCCGUGCCAGCAGCCGCGGUAAUACGGAGGGUGCAAGCGUUAAUCGGAAUUACUGGGCGUAAAGCGCACGCAGGCCGUUUC